UGAGUAACACGUGGGUAACCUGCCCAUAAGACUGGGAUAACUCCGGGAAACCGGGGCUAAUACCGGAUAACAUUUUGAACCGCAUGGUUCGAAAUUGAAAGGCGGCUUCGGCUGUCACUUAUGGAUGGACCCGCGUCGCAUUAGCUAGUUGGUGAGGUAACGGCUCACCAAGGCAACGAUGCGUAGCCGACCUGAGAGGGUGAUCGGCCACACUGGGACUGAGACACGGCCCAGACUCCUACGGGAGGCAGCAGUAGGGAAUCUUCCGCAAUGGACGAAAGUCUGACGGAGCAACGCCGCGUGAGUGAUGAAGGCUUUCGGGUCGUAAAACUCUGUUGUUAGGGAAGAACAAGUGCUAGUUGAAUAAGCUGGCACCUUGACGGUACCUAACCAGAAAGCCACGGCUAACUACGUGCCAGCAGCCGCGGUAAUACGUAGGUGGCAAGCGUUAUCCGGAAUUAUUGGGGCGUAAAGCGCGCGCAGGUGGUUUCUUAAGUCUGAUGUGAAAGCCCACGGCUCAACCGUGGAGGGUCAUUGGAAACUGGGAGACUUGAGUGCAGAAGAGGAAAGUGGAAUUCCAUGUGUAGCGGUGAAAUGCGUAGAGAUAUG
rnacentral:rRNA from 2 species